rnacentral:rRNA from 1 species
CCUACGGGCGGCAGCAGUCGGGAAUCAUUCACAAUGGGGGAAACCCUGAUGGUGCGACGCCGCGUGGGGGAAUGAAGGUCUCCGGAUUGUAAACUCUUGUCAUGUGGGAGCAAAUUGAAAAGAUAGUACAACAAGAGGAAGCGACGGCUAACUCUGUGCCAGCAGCCGCGGUAAUACGGAGGUCUCAAGCGUUGUACGGAAUUACUGGGCGUAAAGCGUGCGUAGGCUGUUUCGUAAGGCGUGUGUGAAAGGCGCGGGCUCAACCCGCGGACGGCACAUGAUACUGCGUGUCUGGAGUAAUGGAGGGGGAACCGGAAUUCGCGGUGUAGCAGUGAAAUGCGUAGAUAUCGAGAGGAACACUCGUGGCGAAGGCGGGUUCCUGGACAUUAACUGACGCUGAGGCACGAAGGCCAGGGGAGCGAAAGGGAUUAGAUACCCGGGUAGUC